rnacentral:rRNA from 1 species
AUGAACGCUGGCGGCGUGCCUAAUACAUGCAAGUCGCGCGAACGGACGAGAAGCUUGCUUCUCUGAUGUUAGCGGCGGACGGGUGAGUAACACGUGGAUAACCUACCUAUAAGACUGGGAUAACUUCGGGAAACCGGAGCUAAUACCGGAUAAUAUUUUGAACCGCAUGGUUCAAAAGUAAAAGACGGUCUUGCUGUCACUUAUAGAUGGAUCCGCGCUGCAUUAGCUAGUUGGUAAGGUAACGGCUUACCAAGGCAACGAUGCAUAGCCGACCUGAGAGGGUGAUCGGCCACACUGGAACUGAGACACGGUCCAGACUCCUACGGGAGGCAGCAGUAGGGAAUCUUCCGCAAUGGGCGAAAGCCUGACGGAGCAACGCCGCGUGAGUGAUGAAGGUCUUCGGAUCGUAAAACUCUGUUAUUAGGGAAGAACAUAUGUGUAAGUAACUGUGCACAUCUUGACGGUACCUAAUCAGAAAGCCACGGCUAACUACGU